rnacentral:rRNA from 1 species
UGAGGAAUAUUGGUCAAUGGACGGAAGUCUGAACCAGCCAAGUAGCGUGCAGGAUGACGGCCCUAUGGGUUGUAAACUGCUUUUGUAUGGGGAUAAAGUCAAUCACGUGUGAUUGUUUGCAGGUACCAUACGAAUAAGGACCGGCUAAUUCCGUGCCAGCAGCCGCGGUAAUACGGAAGGUUCGGGCGUUAUCCGGAUUUAUUGGGUUUAAAGGGAGCGUAGGCCGGAGAUUAAGUGUGUUGUGAAAUGUAGACGCUCAACGUCUGACUUGCAGCGCAUACUGGUUUCCUUGAGUACGCACAACGUUGGCGGAAUUCGUCGUGUAGCGGUGAAAUGCUUAGAUAUGACGAAGAACUCCGAUUGCGAAGGCAGCUGACGGGAGCGCAACUGACGCUGAAGCUCGAAGGUGCGGGUAUCGAACAGGAUUAGAUACCCUGGUAGUCCGCACAGUAAACGAUGGAUGCCCGCUGUUGGUACCUAGUAUCAGCGGCUAAGCAAAAGCAUUAAGCAUCCCACCUGGGGAGUACGCCGGNNCGGU